ACGGAAGGCAGCAGUGGGGAAUAUUGCACAAUGGGCGAAAGCCUGAUGCAGCGACGCCGCGUGAGUGAAGAAGUAUCUCGGUAUGUAAAGCUCUAUCAGCAGGGAAGAAAAUGACGGUACCUGACUAAGAAGCCCCGGCUAACUACGUGCCAGCAGCCGCGGUAAUACGUAGGGGGCAAGCGUUAUCCGGAUUUACUGGGUGUAAAGGGAGCGUAGACGGUUUGGCAAGUCUGAAGUGAAAUGCGGGGGCUCAACUCCUGAACUGCUUUGGAAACUGUCGAACUAGAGUGCAGGAGAGGUAAGUGGAAUUCCUAGUGUAGCGGUGAAAUGCGUAGAUAUUAGGAGGAACACCAGUGGCGAAGGCGGCUUACUGGACUGUAACUGACGUUGAGGCUCGGAAGCGUGGGGAGCAAACAGGAUUAGAUACCCUGGUA
rnacentral:rRNA from 1 species